ensembl:lncRNA
CGGAGUGAUCCUGCUACAAGACUUCCCCAGGAAGUGGCUUUGGGGGUAAUACCCAAAGGUUGGAGGUUGAGUCCUGUGCAAGCAUGGAGUUUGGCAAGUGAAGAGGCAGUAAGGAUGGCUGUUUGCAGGCAGGUACACUGUCUGCAAAGCCGGAAUAUAGACAAUUUCUAGUGGUCCAGGAUUGGAAAAGAUCAUGCCCUGCCAUACUCUUCUGGACAGGCUGGCUCCUCAGGGAGGACUCAGAGGCAGGUUCUGGCCUGGCCUUGCCCUCCUGCAAGCCCACUUGUCUCCACCAUCACACUUCCCCCAGUUUGUGUGAGCCUGAUUUCCACUCGAACCUGCCUCCACUGAUGCUAUUCUGAAAGAAUUGCCUUGCCGGAGUCUAGUGAAGGGACAGUAACCGGGGCCACCGCAGGACCCAACCUGUCCAGCAAUUUCUAGGCACUUCCCACCUCUCUGGUCACUGCUGCCUCAGUGCCUGCCUGCCUCAGGGCCUGUGCACUUGCUUCUGCCUGAACUGUUCUGUGCUGUUGGAGGAAACUCUUGAGAGUCCCUUGGACUGCAAGGAGAUCCAACCAGUCCGUCUUAAAGGAGAUCAGUCCUGAGUGUUCAUUGGACGGACUGAUGUUGAAGCUGAGACUCCAAUACUUUGGCCACCUGAUGAGAAGAGCUGACUCAUUUGAAAAGACCCUGAUGCUGGGAAAGAUUGAAGGCAGGAGGAGAAGGGGACCACAGAGGAUGAGAUGGUUGGAUGGCAUCACCGACUCAAUGGACAUGAGUUUGGGUGAACUGCGGGAGUUGGUGAUGGACAGGGAGGCCUGACAUGCUGCGUUUCAUGGGGUCCAACGAGUCGGACACGACUGAGUGACUGAACUGUUCUUCCCCUAACUGUUAGGGCCAGCCCUGAGUCCCACACUCUUGACCAUCACCUACGUAUUUUGACUGUUGGGCCAGGAUAGGUAUGGCUCAUCCCUACCCCACGCAACCCGGUGAUUUUGGGGCCCAGCACAGAGUGCUGGACUGGGGUCAUGGAAAGUGCUCAGCAAAUAAUUACUAAAGGAUUCCGCGCCUCAGGCAGCUCACGGCCAGCCACCAACUUUCCUCCUCCCUCUUCCUAGGAGGGAAGCGGGGUCUAGGCCCAGGCCGCGGGGGAGGGCAAGGCCCGCGGCGGGGGGAGGGGCGGGC